rnacentral:rRNA from 1 species
AUGGUUCAAACAGAUAGGCACACACAUUUUCCGUUGGUAUAUCGUCUCAUUGAAUUGGCCUUGAUUCUCCCCGUCGCAACGGCAACCGUAGAAAGAGCUUUCUCAGCUAUGAGCAUUGUCAAAACUGAUCUGCGAAACAAGAUGAAUGAUGAAUGGAUGAAUCACCGUUUGGUGUGCUAUAUUGAGCGUGAUGUAUUUGCAAGCAUUGAUGAUAUUAAGAUUAUACAGUGCUAUCAAAAAAUGAGGAAACGCAAGGGGCUACUACCUCGUGGACUUCGUGUUAAUGGUAUAAUAUGUUCUUUUUCUUGCAAAAUUUCAUAUGAAUAA